CAACGUUGUGACACAGGCCACACAUAUUCAAGCGGAGCGAUUAGCCAAUCAGAUCUCGCCGAUGGCGUCAUUUAUUCGUUGAAAUUUCAAACCGCACUUCCGGUUAGCGACUUCCGCGCCAAAACAUGUCAUCUAUUGUUCAAUUUUGUCGCUAAUUUCGAAGCAUAUUUCGUUCCUUUUGAAUCCGUAAUGCUUUUGCUCCGAGAUAAUUGAUGGUGUGGCCUAUAAUUACGUAAAGAUAUUACAUAAUUGAGAUAUACAUCAAUGGAACAUAAAUAUAUGCUGGAUCUUGUGUACAAGGGAGUGUUUGUCUUAGUUCUAUUUCAUGUCUUUGCACUUGUAUACUGGAUGUACUGUGUAUUUUUAGGACAAGAAAAUGAGAGAAAGAAAAUGUCAAAGUUACACUAAUUAAAAAAGAACAGAAUAAUAAAUUUCCACAUUAAUUCUCUAUUUAAAAUGCAUUAAAAACUUGAUAAAUUUAAAUUGUACAUUAAUUAUAACCCUUUUUUCUUUAACUGUAAAUUCCUUGCAGCAUAAACUUUGAAAAGUUAAAAAUACAUAUUACUUUAAAUUAAUUCAUUGAUUCAUGGAAUGAAUCUUUGGUAUAUAUUUGAACAUUUUAAUUAUAUUUGAGUUUAUAAGGUCGAAUAUAUCCGAAUAUGAUAUAUUCAUCAAAUCAGUGAAAUCACUGACCUUUGACCACAUGAACUUCAAUGACCAGGGUCUUUUGAGGACACCCUGUUCAGAGGUCGCAUUUUGGUCGCCUCAAAUGCAAUUCAAAAAAUAGACAACGAAGAUUUAUGAGGUUUAUUGCCUCAUUAUCUAUUGUUUGAGUUGCAUCGACGUGACCAAAAUGCGACGUAUAAACUAGGCCUGAGAAGUCGAAAAACUUCAAGGAGACUGGAGACUUUAAUGUACGAGCAGGAGAACUGAGCCUGCGAUUUCCUUUGGCCAGGCAAUCUCGUUCCCUCCCCGAGAUUCCUCUGGCGAAGAAACAAUGGCUCUGGAAUAGGCUCUGGGUUUUUAUUGUAUUACAACAUUACAAUUACAUUCCAAUCUGUACUGUACUGUAUUGUAAAUAACUGAACAACAUAAUGCGUCACAGACUGCAAUAUGUAACUGGAUAGACGCUUGGACGAGGACAAUUAAUACAAACAGUAUACCAAUGCUUUUGGACACUAUAUAUUGCUGUUUAACAUUAGUAUAAAAUAGGAUUUAAUGGAUUUACCGGCUCAAAAAUAUUUUUCUCCAAUUGGGAUGAAAAUACCUGAAGCUUUUAUGAAUCGUAAUUUAAUUUCCAGUCAAAUGUAUAAUUGUAGUAUGGGUUAUCAUUCUCAGUGUCUUUUCUGUUAUGAUAAUACAACUGUGACAGAAAUGAUUUACAGUUAAAAAAUAAAGCCGAAUAUUGGCAGGCUAUGUUUCCUGAAAACAUAUUUCCUGAAAACAAUUGUCGGCUCGCUUUCCUCGUCCACCUAGGAUUAUGGUCUUUCGUUCAAGGUCAGCCUAAUCCAUGGGCACUCCCCCGCCAAAUAAUAUAAAACACUUAUCCACAAACUAUUUACCUUAAAACGAUUAUCUGCUAGGCUUAACUCUUUGUUGGAACCAUAUACGUAUAGGCAGGAUAUUAACGACUUCCUUGUCACCAACCGGUUACCUGGGAUUACCAUUUUAACAGGAAACGAUUGAUUUUAAUAAUGAUAGUUCGCGGUUGACAUUAAAAAUGAAGAAAAUAUUUCCUAACUUAGCGUCAAGUUUGCUCAAAUGUGGCAAAAAUAUGGCAAUAACCGAACUCCAUCAGUUCUAUAUACGUGA